GGAGCUGCCCUAGCUCAAUGGCAGAGAAUCUGUUUUGUAUGCAGAAGGUCCUGGGUUCAAACCCUGGCAUCUCCA